GCUGUAUUUAUCAAGGAUCAAAACUGCAGCAGUCAACAGCAGUUUAACAGAUUUCUGCAGAAAUUCUUGUAAAAACUACUGACUACUGGAAACAAAUUCUUGAAACAGGAAGCAAGAAGUGAAUACCCAUGGGAGAGAGUACUUGAAUGAUUCUGGAGGAUGACCGAGAUCAAGCAACACACAACCACUAAAACAAUGCUUACAGAGUUAUUUUCUAACUCGUGUACGAACUGGGGACACCGUCGCUUAUGUUCGUGAAGAGGAACCCCGUUCUAGUGCUGGCCUUCCUGCCUGGGAGGACAACAGUUCUUUGGCUCUCAAGGAGUUCCAAACAAGAAGGGAACAAUUUCUACGAAUCCCAUAUUUCUUGGAAUAAAUGACCUGUACAUGGGAACUGCUAUCUUAAAUUUCACAUGAGAUGUCUGCAUCUUUCACUUAACACAAAAUGUACAUGUUCAGAUUUUGUAUUAGAGGAUUUUUGUCAGCCUGACACUCCAAAUUUCUCUCAAGCUGUUUUUCAGUGCGCUUCCUGAAACCUUGCUGUGGAAACAUGACAACAUCAAAAUUCCCUUGUCAUGGGGGAUGGAAGUCAGCAUGAAGAGCAGCUCACAGACACAGCUUCUACCCUGAGUAAAUGCUCUAAGCAAAUCCCUGUACAGCCUCUGUUGCUAAGCAGAAAGCAGAUAACCUGCUCUGCUAGAGAGCGACUGCCAGAGACAGAAACUUAACCUUCAUAUGCUCUCUCCUGCGCCUCUUGUACACACCACUGUUCCACCCACAGACUCAGUGUUUCAUGCUCUGAUUGGAUCUCAUGCGGGAGAAAACCACGCAACACAAAGGGAGAAUGAAAUUAUGACAAUGAAUAAAGACUAACAAAGUUAACGUUAAACAUGAUUAAUAAAACUCAAAUAGAUGUGUCUACUUCAAAACAACUAAUAUACGGCCAGCUUCUCUUACUCAUCCAGAGAAUGGUAAGAGACCCAAAAUAAAGAGUGCUACCAUAUGAACUGGUACAAAGAUAUGAGGACCAUGACAGACUACCUCAAUAAAGGACCCUGAGCUAACCCAAGCCCUGUUAUCUUCUGGAGCCUCCAAUGUAGCAUUUAUAUUCUUCUUGCACUUACAGAAUUGCUAAUGAUAGAGUUCAGGGCUCUGAGGGCACUGUCAGGCCACAGUGGUCCUGUCUAGUCUUCCCUGGGGAGGGACAUCCCUUUAACACUGCAUUUUGGACCAGCCAGGGCUGUAGGUGUGCACCUCUGGCUCUUAAGUGACCCUGGCCCUUUUUCAUUCCCUCACCCUGCUGGGGGCUGUCAGUGGACACCCUGACCAACAGACAGCUGUGCUUGUCACAUCUGGACCUGUAGCUAGGUCUGCAUUAGCUGGUGAGAGUGGCCUCUGCUGGGUCACUCUCAGCCCCCCAGUGCUCAGGCUAGCUCUUACUCUCACUGACAGUCUGCUGUUAUUUCCAGAGGCAUGAACAAGUUUAAACCAAGGGUGAUUAAGUUUAUACACUCAAAAGAAGGCAACUGAUGUUGGCACAAUAUGAUGUCCAGAAAUUUCAGGUACAAGAAGAUUUUCUCUCUGAAGCAAAGGUGGUUCCCUACAUGACUUAAUCACUAGCCAAGCUGCUGCUGGGGAAGACAGUGGAGGCAUAGAUAGAUUACUGUGUAGGUGGCAAGUCCCUUUGAGGUUACAGAUGAGGACUUUGGUCUGGAUUGAGUAAGGCUGAUCUCCUCCUAAGACUCAGUAAAAUGUUAGUAGCUUUUAAAAACAGAUCAGCAAGUUUCCUCUGAAGCAGAGAGCAGGGACACAUACAGUAAGGGAUGCCAUGAGGACAUCACCAACAGUCACUGACCUCUGACUUGGGCAAAGCUUUUGUGAGAUCAGAUUUGCACCUGCUGCUUGGAUCAGUGUACGUAUGGAGGCUUUGGGCUGCAUACAUUCACUGGGCAACUUCAGGGCAUACUGAAGCAUGGUUAACUGAAAACAUCAAUGCUGUAAAUACAUGCUUGUAUGUGGAAAUAAUUGCACCUUUUGAAUAUACACUUGUUUUAUUUAUGAGGUCUCCAAAUUGAUUUAAGUUUGCUAGCUGCUCAAUGAAUUUCUGUCUUACUUUGGAGGAAAAGUCUUUUGAUACACAGCAAACACAGACUUCAACUUAUCUACUGUGUCUAUAGUCUUUUUAAAUUAUCUAGAAAACUGCUUCUUUGAUUUGUUCUUUGGCUGGUUAAAGGUUAAAAAGCUUUAAAGAACACAGCAUUUAUUGCAACAUCAAAGAUGAUUACAGAAUAGCCUGGCAGUUUACUUCUCUGCAGAAUGCCCAUAAAAAAGAAAGAUGUGUGCAUCAGGAAUCUGCAG